rnacentral:rRNA from 1 species
CAGUCGCCACGGUAAUACAGAGGGUGCGAGCGUUAAUCGGAUUUACUGGGCGUAAAGCGUGCGUAGGCGGCUUCUUAAGUCGGAUGUGAAAUCCCUGAGCUUAACUUAGGAAUUGCAUUCGAUACUGGGAAGCUAGAGUAUGGGAGAGGAUGGUAGAAUUCCAGGUGUAGCGGUGAAAUGCGUAGAGAUCUGGAGGAAUACCGAUGGCGAAGGCAGCCAUCUGGCCUAAUACUGACGCUGAGGUACGAAAGCAUGGGGAGCAAACAGGAUUAGAGACCCGCGUAGUCCCUGUCUCUUAUAU